AUUGACAGGUUGCGAUAAACCCUUCUACAAACCCACCUGUAAUAAGGUGGGCAUCCGCACAUCGAUAGGUUCGAGGACACACAUUGUCUUAAAGAUUACCCCCACAUCUUUUACCUAGACCAGAGACUACUCAGAGGAGACAUUCUUAUCACACUUCAUACUCCUGUAACAACUAUUUUCAACUCGUUCGAUGAUUUAAUCUUCCGGCUCCCUGCGUGAAGCCGUCUACAUCAUCCCCGUCAACGACACAUGUAAACAUAAUAAUCAACAAAGUGAAUAGUUACUUACAGACAUAUCUAUACAAAUAGCAUGUGGCAUAAAGUUCAACCAAGUACAGAUCUCUUCUGCAGGAGCGAACGAAUCUGUUGCCUUAGGGCAUACACAGAACGUUUAUCCGGUUAUUGGCGACUCUUUUCCCUUACGAGGGGAGCGACUAAUUAACCGUGAAAUUUAUUUAUUUUCAUAUUUCAGCCUGAAGUGUUUGCAGGGCGGGGUCAUAAGUAUCACACACUUGAAUUUUCUAAUUUUCUUUUCCCAUUUGGAAGUUAUUGAAAAAUAUAGAAGAUAUAUUAGCUCUCUAUAUUCAUAACAUACAGAUGCGUGAUUAUUUUAUUUUUAGAGAUUUAAAUCGGAAAUAUUCUAGAGUUUAUUUGGGUCGAUCAAUCAAUAAGCGAUGCAUGAUGUGAUCUGAAUAUUAUUAGGCCCAUUCAUAACUGAAUAUAAAUAUUAUUGUUUACAAAUAGCUUUGAUAAACGCGAAUCUGUAUUAUCCAGGCUAUCAAUCAUAGUGUCGUUCUUAGAUUUGCGUAUUGUUUCAUUAAUCAUGUGAACUUAGAUAAUGAAAGAGCACUGUAAUGUCUACAUCGGUCUUUUUCUCCUUCUCCUUAUUCUUCUGUUUAUU